UGAUUGAGAGAAAAGUCUUAGAAAAGUCUUAGCAAGUCUUGUUUUCAAUUUGCUAGAGUGUUCACCUCCUUCUUUCUUGCUGAAAAUUUGUAAGAGUGUGAACCGCUUGUAAAAAGUUGUAAGAGGGGUAUUUGCCCUUCCCCUUCAAGAGAUUUGCUAGUGGAAGGUGGGAGCCUCAUCGAAGAGGGCCUCGCAAGUGGAUGUAGAUCAUUUGACCG
rnacentral:lncRNA from 1 species